UACAGAGGUCUCAAGCGUUGUUCGGAUUCAUUGGCGUAAAGGGUGCGUAGGCGGCGCGGUAAGUCGGGUGUGAAAUCUCGGAGCUUAACUCCGAAACUGCAUUCGAUACUGCCGUGCUUGAGGACUGGAGAGGAGACUGGAAUUUACGGUGUAGCGGUGAAAUGCGUAGAUAUCGUAAGGAAGACCAGUGGCGAAGGCGGGUCUCUGGACAGUUCCUGACGCUGAGGCACGAAGGUCAGGGGAGCAAACGGG
rnacentral:rRNA from 1 species